GAUGAACGCUGGCGGCGUGCCUAAUACAUGCAAGUCGAGCGAACGGACGAGAAGCUUGCUUCUCUGAUGUUAGCGGCGGACGGGUGAGUAACACGUGGAUAACCUACCUAUAAGACUGGGAUAACUUCGGGAAACCGGAGCUAAUACCGGAUAAUAUUUUGAACCGCAUGGUUCAAAAGUGAAAGACGGUCUUGCUGUCACUGAUAGAUGGAUCCGCGCUGCAUUAGCUAGUUGGUAAGGUAACGGCUUACCAAGGCAACGAUGCAUAGCCGACCUGAGAGGGUGAUCGGCCACACUGGAGCUGGGACACGGUCCAGACUCCUGCGGGAGGCAGCAGUAGGGAAUCUUCCGCAAUGGGCGAAAGCCUGACGGAGCAACGCCGCGUGAGUGAUGAAGGUCUUCGGAUCGUAAAACUCUGUUAUUAGGGAAGAACAUAUGUGUAAGUAACUGUGCACAUCUUGACGGUACCUAAUCAGAAAGCCACGGCUAACUACGUG
rnacentral:rRNA from 1 species